UUCCUGAUAGUUCAGUGGUUAGGAUUCUGCAUUUUCCCUGCAGUGACCCAGGUUCAAUCCCUGGUUAGGGAA
rnacentral:tRNA from 1 species